rnacentral:rRNA from 1 species
GAUGAACGCUGGCGGCGUGCCUAAUACAUGCAAGUCGAGCGAACAGACGAGGAGCUUGCUCCUCUGACGUUAGCGGCGGACGGGUGAGUAACACGUGGAUAACCUACCUAUAAGACUGGGAUAACUUCGGGAAACCGGAGCUAAUACCGGAUAAUAUAUUGAACCGCAUGGUUCAAUAGUGAAAGACGGUUUUGCUGUCACUUAUAGAUGGAUCCGCGCCGCAUUAGCUAGUUGGUAAGGUAACGGCUUACCAAGGCAACGAUGCGUAGCCGACCUGAGAGGGUGAUCGGCCACACUGGAACUGAGACACGGUCCAGACUCCUACGGGAGGCAGCAGUAGGGAAUCUUCCGCAAUGGGCGAAAGCCUGACGGAGCAACGCCGCGUGAGUGAUGAAGGUCUUCGGAUCGUAAAACUCUGUUAUUCGGGAAGAACAAAUGUGUAAGUAACUAUGCACGUCUUGACGGUACCUAAUCAGAAAGCCACGGCUAACUACGUG